rnacentral:rRNA from 1 species
UACGUAGGUGGCAAGCGUUGUCCGGAUUUACUGGGCGUAAAGAGCGCGCAGGCGGUCGUACAAGUCGCGUGUGAAAGCCCCCCGGCUCAACUGGGGAGGGUCACGCGAUACUGUUCGACUCGAAGGCAGGAGAGGGAAGUGGAAUUCCCGGUGUAGUGGUGAAAUGCGUAGAUAUCGGGAGGAACACCAGUGGCGAAGGCGACUUCCUGGCCUGUUCUUGACGCUGACGGCGCGAAAGCUAGGGUAGCAAACGGG